GGGCGGUUAGUUCAGUGGUAGAACGUCCGAUUCACAUUCGGAAGGUCGCAGGUUCAAUCCCUGCACCGCCCA
rnacentral:tRNA from 4 species